CGCUUUUAGGUUUUCUGGUUUUUCCCUUUCCGGCCUCCUCCUCUUUUCACCCGCAGUUUCUUUUCAAUUCUUCCUCUAUGAUUUCUUUUUCUGUUUGCGCUGCAAUCUGCCGUCCAUGGAGAAGCAUUACAGAUAGGGGUUUAUCAUUUCGCAAGUCGCAACAGGCAUGACAAAACUCGAGUUUCUCACUAAUGGUCACGGAAGAUCACUCUGUAGAUGAAGGUUAUUCUGCAGUAAUCUGCCUGAGCUUCCUCUUUCUUCGUUCAGACUAGUCCAGUAACCAUGGAGAACCGAGGCUUGGAUUGAUCAAUCAUCACCUCAUGUUGAAGGUAAGAAUGAUUACAACAACUACGAAGUUAUUUGGCCCAAGGUUCGUGAUGUUAUUACGAAUCCAGUUAAGAGCAAUCUAACUGAGAUGUCAACCACGCACCAACAUGUUACAUGCCGGUACUGUUAUGCUUGAUGUACCUCCUGCUUAGGGAACUGAAAGUCUUACUGGACAAAAGUUCGAUCUCCUUGGAUGUUUAAAUUUUAGUGUCUUGAAUGAUCAAAAUUAAGUCUCUUUGUGACCAAGAGAUUUUUAUUUGAGAAAGAUACUGAAUCUAACCACAAUAAUGAGUUACUCUUUGCAGAAGUCAGAUUAAAGCAAAUUUUCUUGAAUUUAUUUGCUUUCCUAAA